rnacentral:misc_RNA from 1 species
AAGACUAUAGACCUGCGGAGUACCUGCGGAGGGAUCAUUACAGAGUUUUCUAACUCCCAAACCCAUGUGAACUUACCAUUGUUGCCUCGGCGGAGCCUACCCUGUAGCUACCCUAUAAGGUGGUUACCCUGUAGCGCCCCGCCGGUGGAUUUUCAAACUCUUGUUAUUUUUAGUAAUCUGAGAGUCUUAUUUUAAAUAAGUCAAAACUUUCAACAAUGGAUCUCUAGAUCGGAAGAGCAC